rfam:Cajanus cajan chromosome 7, whole genome shotgun sequence.
UCCGUAGUAGCUCACAUGGUUAAACUCUGAUGUUGAAUUUCCGGGUUCGAAUCCCGGCUACGGAA